rnacentral:misc_RNA from 1 species
AAAUGCGAUUAGUAAUGUGAAUUGCAGAAUUCAGUGAAUCAUCGAAUCUUUGAACGCACAUUGCGCCCCUUGGUAUUCCGAGGGGCAUGCCUGUUCGAGCGUCAUUACAACCCUCAAGCUCUGCUUGGUAUUGGGCUCCGUCCUCACUGCGGACGCGCCUCGAAGACCUCGGCGGUGGCUGUUCGGCCCUCAAGCGUAGUAGAAUACACCUCGCUUUGGAGCGGUCGGCGUCGCCUGCCGGACGAACCUUCUGAACUUUUCUCAAGGUUGACCUCGGAUCAGGUAGGGAUACCCGCUGAACUUAAGC